rnacentral:tRNA from 1 species
GAGAAAGAAUGCAAGAACUGCUAACUCAUGCCUCCGCACCUAAAAAUGCGGCUUUUUCAA